ACAUUGACCCUUCGGGUGAUUUGUUGGGCGUCGAGCGGCGGACGGGUGAGUAAUGCCUGGGAAAUUGCCCUGAUGUGGGGGAUAACCAUUGGAAACGAUGGCUAAUACCGCAUAANGUCUACGGACCAAAGAGGGGGACCUUCGGGCCUCUCGCUUCAGGAUAUGCCCAGGUGGGAUUAGCUAGUUGGUGAGGUAAUGGCUCACCAAGGCGACGAUCCCUAGCUGGUCUGAGAGGAUGAUCAGCCACACUGGAACUGANACACGGUCCAGACUCCUACGGGAGGCAGCANUGGGGAAUAUUGCACAAUGGGCGCAAGCCUGAUGCAGCCAUGCCGCGUGUAUGAAGAAGGCCUUCGGGUUGUAAAGUACUUUCAGUCGUGAGGAAGGCNNUGNAGUUAAUAGNUNNNNCGNUUGACGUUAGCGACAGAAGAAGCACCGGCUAACUCCGUGCCAGCAGCCGCGGUAAUACGGAGGGUGCGAGCGUUAAUCGGAAUUACUGGGCGUAAAGCGCAUGCAGGUGGUUUGNUAAGUCANAUGNGAAAGCCCGGGGCUC
rnacentral:rRNA from 1 species